AGCGGAGCAUGUGGCUUAAUUCGACGCAACGCGAAGAACCUUACCAGGGCUUGACAUGCAGGAAAGCGGCGGAACGUCGUGUCCGCAAGGGCCCUGCACAGGUGGUGCAUGGUUGUCGUCAGCUCGUGUCGUGAGAUGUUGGGUUAAGUCCCGCAACGAGCGCAACCCCUAUUGUUAGUUGCCAUCAUUCAGUUGGGCACUCUAGCGAGACUGCCGGUAAUAAACCGGAGGAAGGUGGGGAUGACGUCAAAUCAUCAUGCCCCUUAUGACCUGGGCUACACACGUGCUACAAUGGUUGGUACAACGAGUUGCGAGUCGGUGACGGCGAGCUAAUCUCUUAAAGCCAAUCUCAGUUCGGAUUGUAGGCUGCAACUCGCCUACAUGAAGUCGGAAUCGCUAGUAAUCGCGGAUCAGCACGCCGCGGUGAAUACGUUCCCGGGCCUU
rnacentral:rRNA from 1 species